AGUGAACGCUGGCGGCAGGCCUAACACAUGCAAGUCGAACGGCAGCACAGCAGUAGCAAUACUGUGGGUGGCGAGUGGCGGACGGGUGAGGAAUACAUCGGGAUCUACCCGGUUGUGGGGGAUAACGUAGGGAAACUUACGCUAAUACCGCAUACGACCGAGAGGUGAAAGCGGCGGACCGCAAGGCGUCGCGCGAUCGGAUGAACCGAUGUCGGAUUAGCUAGUUGGUGGGGUAAAGGCUCACCAAGGCGAGGAUGCGUAGCUGGUCUGAGAGGAUGAUCAGCCACACUGGAGCUGAGACGCGGUCCAGACUCCUACGGGAGGCAGCAGUGGGGAAUAUUGGACAAUGGGCGCAAGCCUGAUCCAGCCAUGCCGCGUGUGUGAAGAAGGCCUUCGGGUUGUAAAGCACUUUGGUUGGGGAAGAAAAGCAUUCGGUUAAUACCCGGGUGUUCUGACGGUACCCAAAGAAUAAGCACCGGCUAACUUCGUGCCAGCCGCCGCCGUAA
rnacentral:rRNA from 1 species